AAUAAGAUGCCUGAAUAAAGGGCUAUCUUGAUAGGAUAGAUUAUGUAUUAAUAUACUCUUAUUA
rnacentral:tRNA from 1 species